AGGUGAGCAUCUCCUCACACACUUUCGGGGUCAUCAGUCAGGAGCAGCUUGACGAGGCUUUGGCGUAGGCAACUCAAGCUCAGGAGCAUGCAUCUCCAGUUGAGGAGCACACAUCUCAGGCUCAAGAGUGCGCAAGCCAGCUACAAAGUGUCAUAUCCGCUAUGGUGACAUAGCUCUCCGUUACUCUUGAAGCUGAUUUUUCAAGUAUUC
rnacentral:lncRNA from 1 species